rnacentral:rRNA from 1 species
GCGAGAAAGGGGGCUUCGGCCCCUGAGUACAGCGGCGAACGGGUGCGUAAUACAUGAGCAAUCUAUCCUUGAGGCGGGAAUAACCCAGCGAAAGUUGGGCUAAUACCGGAUGAGACCACAGGGGGAAACUCCAGAGGUCAAAGGCAGCUUUCUUUUGGGAGCGGCCCUUCGAAGAGGAGUUCAUGUCCUAUCAGCUAGUUGGUAGGGUAACGGCCUACCAAGGCGAAGACGGGUAGCUGGUCUUAGAGGAUGAUCAGCCACACGGGGACUGAGACACGGCCCCGACUCCUACGGGAGGCAGCAGUGGGGAAUAUUGGGCAAUGGGCGAAAGCCUGACCCAGCGACGCCGCGUGGGUGAUGAAGGCCUUCGGGUCGUAAAGCCCUGUCAGGAGGAAAGAAUGAUCUUGUGGUAAAUAUCCACGAGAUGUGACGGUACCUCCGAAGGCAGCACCGGCCAAUUCCGUGCCAGCAGCCGCGGUAAGACGGAAGGUGCAAGCGUUGCUCGGAAUCACUGGGCGUAAAGGGUGCGUAGGCGGCUUCUUAAGUCUGGUGUGAAAGCCCAGGGCUCAGCUCUGGAAGUGCACUAGAAACUGGGGAGCUUGAGUACCGGAGGGGAGAGUGGAAUUCCUGGUGUAGCGGUGAAAUGCGUAGAUAUCAGGAGGAAUACCGGUGGCGAAAGCGACUCUCUGGACGGUUACUGACGCUGAGGCACGAAAGCGUGGGGAGCAAACAGGAUUAGAUACCCUGGUAGUCCACGCCGUAAACGAUGGGCACUAGGUGUCGGGGGUAUCCACUCCCUCGGUGCCGCCGCUAACGCAUUAAGUGUCCCGCCUGGGAAGUACGGUCGCAGAUUAAAACUCAAAGGAAUUGACGGG